GUGGGGAAUAUUGGACAAUGGGCGCAAGCCUGAUCCAGCCAUACCGCGUGGGUGAAGAAGGCCUUCGGGUUGUAAAGCCCUUUUGUUGGGAAAGAAAUCCUAUCGAUUAAUACUCGGUGGGGAUGACGGUACCCAAAGAAUAAGCACCGGCUAACUUCGUGCCAGCAGCCGCGGUAAUACGAAGGGUGCAAGCGUUACUCGGAAUUACUGGGCGUAAAGCGUGCGUAGGUGGUUGUUUAAGUCUGCUGUGAAAGCCCUGGGCUCAACCUGGGAAUUGCAGUGGAUACUGGGCAACUAGAGUGUGGUAGAGGGAUGCGGAAUUUCUGGUGUAGCAGUGAAAUGCGUAGAGAUCAGAAGGAACAUCCGUGGCGAAGGCGGCAUCCUGGGCCAACACUGACACUGAGGCACGAAAGCGUGGGGAGCAAACAGGAUUAGAUACCCCAGUAGUCC
rnacentral:rRNA from 1 species